GAUGAAGAACGCAGCGAAAUGCGAUAAGUAAUGUGAAUUGCAGAAUUCAGUGAAUCAUCGAAUCUUUGAACGCACAUUGCGCCCGCCAGUAUUCUGGCGGGCAUGCCUGUUCGAGCGUCAUUACAACCCUCAGGCCCCCGGGCCUGGCGUUGGGGAUCGGCGGAAGCCCCCUGCGGGCACAACGCCGUCCCCCAAAUACAGUGGCGGUCCCGCCGCAGCUUCCAUUGCGUAGUAGCUAACAUCUCGCAACUGGAGAGCGGCGCGGCCACGCCGUAAAACACCCAACUUCUGAAUGUUGACCUCGAAUCAGGUAGGAAUACCCGCUGAACUUAAGCAUAUCAAUAAGCGGAGGA
rnacentral:misc_RNA from 1 species